UUGAGGUGGAGAGGGGUGAGGCAAACAGAGGUGAAGCCAAACCGGAAGGGUCAGAUCGGAAGUCGGCGACAUGUGGUCGAAGGCUAGCACGUGGGGCCAGUGAGAAAACAGCGACGUUACGAGAAAGACGUGUUCUGAUUAGGAGCGAUCGUGUACCCCGCUGUGGUCGGCAAGGUAAGGUCCAACGCUUCAUUCUGUCCUUUUGCUUCUUGUUGUCUUCUUCCUCCAUCGCACCACAAGAAUAAUAAAAUUCUGGCAGAAGAUUUAUGCAGAAGAAUUUGAAGAAAAAGAAUUGAUAAUUGAAUGAUUCAGAUUUAUUUCCCAAAAAUAAUUAUUUUAUGUUUGAUGUCAACUUUUACUGAUAAAAAACUCCAGAACUACAAUGGAAAACAAACUAAUUCCAGUCAAUGCAAAUUUUGUUUUGAUGUACUUGGUAAUUAUUGUAGUGAAACCUCUCUCUCGGCCAUUCAAUCAUAAAUGAUAACGAAGCUGCUAACAUCUAGCCUUCGGUUACCUUGGACCCUUGUAUCCAUCAUCCUGAUUGGUUCUUAUUUUUGCGCGGCUAUUGUCCCCAUGUUCUGCUUGCUAAGGGGGCAUUACGUCCAAUCGUGGCUUCAGCUAAAGUCACAUGAGAUAGAGUUUUACUGGGUUUCUGGUGAGCCCUCUUUCGCCUAUAAAUAAGCCCGAUCCAACGAUGGCAGUUGUCUUUGAUUCUAGAUCUCUCACAAGUCUGGUCACUGACCACACAUGUCUUCGAUUCUAGAUCUCUCACAGGUCUGGUCGUUGACCACACACAUACAGAACACAGCUACAGCCAGUUCCAGCUCUGACGUCUUCACCACCAAUGUACUGUCUACCAUUGUUGUCGCCAGCAACACCAACAUCAACAAAAGCGGUUUUAUCUCGACGCUGUUGAGUGGAUUGUUUCCACUCACGAAUAACAGUCAGAACUAACCAGCCAGAAUAUACUAUACCAGGUAAACCAUGUCACAGCAUUUGACGCUCUACACACAUUGUUUGAUACUCACAGCUCUGCUACUUGGCCACAACUUCCUGCGUAUGAACAUUCUAAAUCUUGAGUAACUUUAAUACGAACUGGUUUUUCUCUAUCUCAGUGUUUUAAGACCUUUUACAGUCUAUGUUACAGGCACUCUUACUAUGUUCUGUUUCCUCUCAUUCACACGCACACAUGUACACUCACAUAUUGUAUACACACUAUUGCUUAUAUGACUGUCCGUCAUUUCACAUUGUUGUAUACCUUCUCUUGUACACAAAGGCCUGAUUUAUCUACUGUCUUAAUUUUAUAUGUCGCAUGCACGCACACACAGACAAACAGUUUCACUUUGUUAAUAAAUUUAUUCUCAUUAUAUAUCUAA